rnacentral:rRNA from 3 species
UUGGACCUGAUAUCAGGCAAGAUUACCCGCUGAACUUAAGCAUAU